AUGCAUGGUAUGGCCUUGGCCCUGCAGCACUCAUCCUUGCCAAUUGUGGUUCAGUCAGACUCAUCUACGGCACUAGCUGCAAUGACUGGGGACAGCUUGUCCAGGUCUGUUUAUGGGCAUUUGGUACUUGAGAUCAAGCGUCAUCUUCAGGAUCAAGAGUUUGUUCCAUCAAAAAUAAAGCAUGAGCAAAAUAGGGUAGCACAUCGGUUGGCAUUGUAUAGUCGUACGGAGUCUACUACUGCCGUAUGGCUGGGAAGGAGCCCACCUUGUAUUGAGGAGUUGGUGCCUCUCGAUUGUAACCCUCUGAUUAUGGAAUAA
rnacentral:rRNA from 1 species